rnacentral:lncRNA from 1 species
CAUCUAGGCCUGUCGCGAUAAUCAAUUAAUCGCCUUAUCGCUCGAUAAAUAAAAACGAGGUCGGUCAUUUUGCCAGCCUCGAUAAUUAACGUGCGUUUGUUUUCCUCCUCUCUCGCUACCAAAGACGCUGGAUGAGAGAAGAGGUCUCACUCUGUGCAUUUUUCUCGGCACCUGGGGGCGUUGGCUCUAUAAGCGGAAUGAACGGAGUUAGUGAACCCUCCUGUCAGUCAUUCAGUGUCUUUGUCACGAGGGGGCUGGUGCGCACAGGCACACAGACACAAGCUGCGUCCGAAUUGCCAAGUAGUAGUCGAAGUAGUAUCUAGCAUGUCCGAAUUGGCCACCGGAGCGAGUAGCAUGCUACUUCAGAUACUACUUCAGAUACUAGACACGCCCACAUUGUAGGUUGGUCUCGGUGCAUCCUACGGGCAUGCUACUGACCCAAAAUGCACCACGGGCUUCUUCUUCGUCCUCUUAAAAGUUGUAGAAGCGCAUGUGAUGCUAGCGCCACCAGCUGCUCUGCCUAUUUAAAUGUGUCGUGAACGCCGGCUGGCCACAACAGCGCGCACCAUGUCGCGGGACCGCAGCAGUACAGAUGUAAGUUUCAUGUAACUUCACACACUGUCCUAAAAAAUGUGCGGUUGUAUCUCUUUGUCAUGUCAUGGUGUCAUAUUUGCCCAAGUAAUCAUUUUAUGAGCAAGUGGCGACAUCAUGGAGGUAAAGCUCACUUAUUCCAUCAUUAAACUGCACAGCUGCAGUACUACAGCCAGGCCCGCAGAUGAGGGGCUUCAGUUACCACUGUCUGCACGGGCGCAGUACCUACUCUCUGCCUGCGGGGGUCGUCUUUCCCCACCGCUCGUCUAGUGUGUCCGAAUUGGGCCAACGUGUUUAGUAUGUAGGAGUAGGAUCUAGCAGUAGCAUGUAGUAUCCGAGCGGGCAGUUUGGACGCAGCAAAAGACUUUUGGAUACAGUGCUGCAAGUGAGCGUCGUGAGUGAAAAGCAAGCAAACAGAAUGAACACGACAGCUUUGGUGUCUAAACCGAACGCAACAGCCCAAGUGUGGGAAUAUUUCGGCUUUAAACCAGUUUUGUUUUCGUCAGCCACAAAACUCCACGUGUGUGUGUGCGGGCGCGCGUGUGUCUGUGUGUUGGAGGAGCACAGCAGGCUGAUGAGAGCUGUCAGAGCGGACUGAAGCUGCUCCUAUAUGUUUAGCGUUUAACUGACUGAGUUUUGAAACUCUGUUCAUCAUUUUCGCCUGUCCUAUCAACGUAAACGCACUUUCGUCUCGUCACAUUUGAGUCAUCUCCGACUUAUGUUUAGCUCGUCAACGUUACGUCUUCGUCGUGGAAGAAAAGGGAAAUAUUUUAGUCAAUAUUUCCCUUUUUUGACGCUGGCGUUGACGAAAAUAUCUGACGAAAUAUGAAGAAAACAACACUGCUUUAAACCAAAUGAAAGAGGUGAGCCCACAAAUACGGACGAGCCGAUAUGUCGUAUUUGUGCCAAAGUUGUGGUGACAAAGAAGGGGAAUACGACGAACAUGCACGUGCACCUCAAGCACAAUCAUCCCCUCCAUUUUUCUCAAAUGAGCAGAAAAAGUACCGCCGGAGGUACCGCUUACUGAAGCGUUUGGUAAGCAAGCAAAUAUAAACAAAACAGCGCAAAAUGGUGCGCGCUGACAGACAGUGGAAAUUAAAGUUUAUCACUUUUGACACGGUGUACUCGCAUUAUUAUGCCAUAUAAUAUUAUCUAUAAUUUAAAAAACGGUGUCAAUAAUAUCGUUUAUCGGCGAUAAUUUGUAGCACAAUUAUCGUCCAGCAAAAUUUGUUAUCGUGACAGGCCUACCUACAUCACUUCAAGGCCAAGUUACUGCAGGGACGGUUAUCUAAAAAACAGCACGCCCAAGAUGCACCCGCCUUGUAAAAAAGGAGAAUACAGCUGUCUACUCCGUCAAAUGUCCCUGAGCUGGGGAAGGCACUGGCAAAGCAUCCCAACCACUGUUUGUGAAUUAUUUGAUAACAGGACUGGUUCAGAGGUUCCUAACAGGUUUGGUCUGUCUGCCAAAAGUGUCUUUUGUGUGUAAAAAUAAAUUUACAAUCCGUGAUGACAGAUCCUGAAAUAGUUGAUGGAGAGGAGGUAGAGAAGUAAGAGGACAUGCUCGAGAGGCAGUUCAUCUACCGGAAAGAGAACUUGGCAUAUUAUUUUUCCUUGUGUGUCAUGCCUCAGGGGCGGUCCUUUAUAUCUAGACUUUUCAACCUUGCCAAAUCAGUGGAGAAACUCCAUGAUAGAGUAAGUUUAGAUGAAGGUUGCAGAUCCAAACUGCAACACUUCUGUGUAAAAAUGGAAAGGCCUCUCAUUCUCUUAUAGUGACUAUCAGGAAUCUUCUCCUGUGAUUUAAGCUAUUUAUAGUCACAGCACCAUCUGUUGGUUUUGGGGGGUUUUAAUAAUCAGUGGUUGCUGAUGUUUGGCUAAAUGAACUGUCUUCUCUGCCAAAAAAUGUGUCUUCAACUGCUUCAAUGUUUUAAGGGUAACCUAUACUACACAAGCUUUGGAGGUGGGUAGGUUGCUUCAUAGUUUCUUGCUGCUGGCUGCUGCUCUCCCUCCCCAGCUUUCAUGAAGCUCAUGAAAGCUGGGGAGGGUUGCCUGGUAUGGUUGUUCUGGGGGGCUUUUUUGCUGCUGUUUUCCCUGCCUCGGCUUCCAUGUGCUACAUGAAAGCUGAGAGGGUCGCCUUGUAUGGUGUUUUGGGGAAUUUUGAUUUAUUUAUCUUAAUCGUAUUUAGGCCUGUCGCGAUAAUCAAUAAAUCGCCUUAUCGCUCGGUAAAUAAAAACGAGGUCGGUCAUUUUGCCAGCCUCGAUAAUUGACGUGCGUUUGUUUUCCUCCUCUCUCGCUACCAAACACGCUGGAUGAGAGAAGAGGUCUCACUCUGCGCAUUUUCUCGGCACCUGGGGGCGUUGGCUGUAUAGCGGAAUGAACGGAGUUAGUGAACCCUCCUGUCAGUCAUUCAGUAUCUUUGUUACGAGGGGGCGCGCGCGCAGGUACACGUAGGCGCGCACAGGCACACAGACACAGACUUUUGGAUACAGUGCUGCAAGUGAGCGUCGUGAGUGAAAAGCAAGCAAACAGAAUGAACACGACAGCUUUGGUGUCUAAACCGAACGCAACAGCCCAAGUGUGGGAAUAUUUCGGCUUUAAACCAGUUUUGUUUUCGUCAACCACAAAACUCCACGUGUGUGCGCGCGCGCGUGUGUC